UUAUUAAUGAUUGAUACCACGAUACCCUGAAACGUGAUAUUUUUAGACUCGGUUAACAUCCUGUGAAAAUUUCAAACUGUAACACCUCUAGUGACAUUACAGCUCAGCUAAACUGACACAAUGGCUACGUUUACAUGGACAGCAGUAAUCUAAUUAUUGACCUUACUCUGAGUAAGAUAAUAAUGUGAUUGAGGUGUUUACACGAGUCGCUUUUAGAAUACUCCUGUCAUGUUCCCGUUUUACACGUUAUAGAACAUAAUUAGAUUAACGGCACACGUCAUUACGUCCCCGCGCCACGCCGUCCGACGUCCCUCCAGAAUUUCACGUAUCGACAUACAGUUCGUCUUCGUUAUGGUACCGUAUACAGUUUUGAGUGUUUUUAUGUUAAAUUUGUACGAACGCUUCAAGUGCGGUUAAUUAUUUGUCACGCCGUACGUGCAAAUAGACGACUGCUUGAAGCCGUGGGCUGCGUCCCAAACCGCGUACUUACCGUCUAUAUAGUAGCCGAGAUACAUGUAUUUCGCCUAUAGUAAGUAUGCGGUUUGGGACGCAGCCGUGCUCUCUCGUUUGCCGUAAAACGGUCGAGCGCUGCCGUGUGUGUACGUGUCCAGUCGCACAAUUCGACGUUAAUAGUGUGAUUAAGGUGUGUACAUGUCUGUAAUACACGUCCAUAAUGUGACUAAAACAGGAAAUACUCCACAGGUCUUAAUUCCAUUUGUGUUUACUUCGAGUGUGACCUUAAUCGGAUUAAGGUCAUUAAAAAUCGCUGUUCAGGGUAGCUUCUUAAUCAGAAUAUUGUCUUAAUCGGGUUAAUAUCGGAUUAUUGUUGUCCAUGUAAACGUACUGAGUAAAACAAACCUUUUUAGCACAGAACAUCUGGGCCUUCUAUCUAACUUAGCUAACGUUAGUAUGGGAUAACCAAACUUGUAAUAUAGUUGUAAAUUCUGACAAGUUACUUGCAAAAGUGUUGAAAAUAUAACAAUGCAAAUUAAGACCUCAAUCUCACCCCUAUAGUGGCCUAGCAAAGCUUAGAUAAUGUUACUAAUGAAUGAUCUCUUGGCUAUGAUGGUAAAAUUUGCCUAAAUAUACUGUUAAGUAUAUUGCUGAUGAUAUGAGAAUGUGAAUUGAGAGCCGGAUGCUAGCAGGCAAGAUUGUGGCUAAUGUUGUGCAUUAACAAAAUAGUUUUGAUUACUGUUAAAUUGCUCACUGAGAAUAUGCCUCUGCAAAUCGAGACUCUGGUACUGAAAUCCCACUCGUGUACCUAUGCUAAACGGGAGUUCAUUUACCAGACGUUUGCUAGCUGGCUAGCUUACUUAGCCACAGUUAGUAGUGCUAGGCGUGCUUGGAUGACCAUACCAAAAUUGCUUAGUCAUGUUUAUUUUAAUUCAUGUUCAUUUAAAGGAUUUUUGUGGUGUUUUAAGCUUGCAUAAUAUUAGACGUGUAACAGAUCAGUUUUAUUUCUCGUUUUAAAAUCCUGUAGUACCUCAAAUGUUGUGAGAACUUUUGCUUCUUUUUCUUUCUUGUGUUACACGCUACAUUACAUGAUAA
ensembl:lncRNA